rnacentral:rRNA from 1 species
CCACUGACAGCUGCCAUUGCUCCCAAAAUCCUCAAACCGCAAAAACCAGGGGAGCAUCCUCUGUCUUCCUCCUCUGCCUCCUCCUUCCUCUACGUCUUCCUCCUCCACCCCCUUCCUCAUCUCAACCCCACUUCAACUACAGAUCCACCUCGACCUCGAGCGGCUUCCCAUGGCGUCGCCCUCCGGAAACCCUAAUCCCAACCCCAACCCCAACGUCCCCUUCGAGCUCAGCAGGCUCUUCAAGCCUCCCCCAAACCCUAACCACCCCACAACCGUGCCGACCCCCACUGGCAUCUUCCCGGGCGCCCCGCCCGGCGCGCCGAUGGUCACCGGGCCGCCGGGCCCCUACUCCUACCCGCCCGCCACCCCGCCCUUCCACCGCAACCAGUACCUCAACUACCCCNNCGAUCCCAACGCCGUCCACCUCCCCGUCGCCGCCUUCGCGAACCCUAACCCCGCCGCAAACCCUAUCCCUAACCACAGCCCCGGCCCCAAUCCGGGAGCUCGGCUCAUGCAGCUGCUGGGCAACACCGCGCCCACCCACCUCGAGUCCGUGGUGUCCAUGCCGCCUACGUCAUCGGAGUUCUCUGGCGGCCCGGUGGCGCCGCUGCCAGCGAUGCCGUCCGCGCCGCCGGCGAGGAUGACAAGCACAAGCAGCAAGAUGCCCCGGGGCAGGCUGCUGGGACCGGGGGACAGGGCCGUGCACGACGUGGACUCGCGGCUGCCAGGGGAGGCGCAGCCACCACAGCUGGAAGUGACGCCCAUCACCAAGUACACUUCGGACCCGGGGUUGGUGCUGGGCCGGCAGAUCGCUGUAAACCGAACGUACAUCGUGUACGGCCUCAAGCUUGGCAACAUCCGCGUGCUCAACAUCAACACCGCACUCCGCUCGCUCCUUCGUGGGCACACACAGAGGGUGACGGACAUGGCUUUCUUUGCAGAAGAUGUCCAUCGUUUAGCAAGUGCAAGCGUAGAUGGGCGUAUAUAUGUAUGGAAGAUUGACGAGGGACCCGAUGAGGAAAAUAAACCACAAAUCACAGGAAAGAUUGAAAUGGCCAUCCAGAUAGUAGGAGAUGCUGGAACUUACCAUCCAAGAAUAUGCUGGCACUCCCAUAAGCAAGAAAUUCUGUUUGUUGGAAUAGGGAACUGUGUCUUAAAAAUAGACACAACAAAAGUGGGAAGAGGAAGAGACUUCAGUAAAGAAGAGCCUCUUAAAUGUUCACUUGAUAAGCUCAUUGAUGGUGUGCACUUGGUUGGUAAACAUGACGGGGAUGUCACAGAUCUGUCCUUAUCUCAAUGGAUGACUACCCGUCUGGCUUCAGCAUCAAAAGAUGGCACGGUAAAAAUCUGGGAUGAUCGCAGGACAGUGCCUUUAUCUGUGAUGAAACCGCAUGAUGGUAAAGCUGUUUAUUCGGUUUCUUUCCUUACAGCACCAGAGCAACCAAAUCAUAUAAAUCUCGUUACAGCGGGGCCUCUCAACCGAGAAGUAAAAAUCUGGGCUUCCUCUGAUAAGGAAGGUUGGUUGUUGCCAAGUGAAUCUGAGACUUGGAGAUGCACUCAAACUCUGGAACUUGUGAGUUCUCUGGAAAAUAGGUUUGAGGAAGCAUUUUUCAACCAAGUAGCAGUGUUGCCACAAGCUAGCCUUAUUUUGCUUGCGAAUGCCAAAAAGAACGCUAUAUAUGCUAUUCAUGUUGAGUAUGGUCCAGAUCCUGCUUCUACUCGUCUGGACUAUAUAGCAGAUUUCACAGUUGCAAUGCCUAUUUUAAGUCUGACGGGAACACAUGAAAGCCAGCCUGAUGGUGAACAUGUAGUACAAGUCUAUUGUGUCCAGACAAUGGCUAUCCAGCAGUAUGGAUUGGAGUUAUCACUCUGUUUGCCUCCUACAGCUGAUAACGCUGGGCUUGGUAGGGAUCUGGCUAUUUCCCAUGUAUAUGAGAGACCUCUAGAAGUGGCAUCAGUGGAGUCAUCAACAGAAACUAAACCACUGAGUGAUCAUCAGGGAACAGAAGUUGAUACUGCUACUCAUGUCUCAUCCCCAACUCCUUCAUCAAACAUGGAUAAUGCUGGAUCUUAUGCAGAAGCUGUCUUGAGAAGAGAUGCUUCAAGAGGUCCAUCUCUUGGUGAUCAUGAUGGGGACAAGUCAUCUGUUGAUUAUUCAAAGAAAAGGAUGGAUUCUGAUGGUACAAGUGGGCAAGGAGCAUUUGAUAGGAAGGAUUGCUUUGGGAAUGAAGAGCCAAGAGGUGGCCAGGUUGAUGGUACAGUUUCAGAUCCUCAUCCCACGUUUAAGGUCGGAGUGAAUGCCACACACUUGAUUACCCCAUCUGAAAUUAUUUCAGGUGUGCUCCCAUCUGCUGAAUCGACUGCUAAUGGCAGCCCACAGAAUGCAGAAAUGGAGUCAAAACUUGUGGUUGAGAAAAAAGCAGAUCAAAAUAUUGGAUUUGAGGAUGUUAAGGAGACCCAAAUUGUUCAAGAGAAAAUGGAGAGACUUAACAUGUCUUCAGAGCAAACUGUAGAGACAAUUAGUGAACGUUCGGUAACAACUGACAAGUAUAGUGUGGAAGAUUCACAGAGAUCAGACCCCACACUUCUGAAACAACAUUCUGGUGCUCGGGAUGAAAAUCUUCCAAGAAGAACAGCUGAAGCUACUGAAAACAUCAAUGGCUCUUCGUCAAGGAACUUGCAGUUACCCUCACCUACCAAAGAGGAGAAAGUUCUGCAUCCUCAGGUGUCUGGGCAGAUGUCUCCUCUUACAAGCACUUUCAACUCUACUGAUUCAUCACAUGAACACCCAAGCAAUACAAACCCUGCCAUUGAUUCUGUCCCGCAAGUAUCUGCCAUUCAAGGAAAAUUGCAACAGCUUAUGGCAAUGCAUACUGACAUGCAAAAGCAGCUGAACACAAUUGUGUCUGCUCCUAUUGCAAAGGAGGGCAAAAGGAUCGAGACAUCACUUGGGCGUAAUAUUGAGAAGUCCAUAAAGGCUAACGUUGAUGCCAUGUGGGCUCGUAUCCAGGAGGAAAAUGCAAGGCAUGAAAAGGUUGAAAGAGAGCGAAUGCAGCAGAUUUCUACUCUAAUCACAACUUCUGUAAACAAGGACAUUCCUGCUAUACUGGAGAAAUCAUUAAAGAGAGAAAUAUCGUUGUUGGGACCCACCAUUGCACGAACAACAACACCUAUCAUUGAGAAGUCCUUGUCUUCUGCUGUUUCGGAUUCGCUUCAGAAAGUUCUCGGGGAAAAGGUUGCGAAUCAGCUGGAUAAGUCCAUAAGUACGAAACUUGAAGCUACUGUUGCUAAGCAGAUCCAAACACAGUUCCAUACAUCUGCCAAGCAGGCACUUCAGGAUGCUUUACGGUCAAGCUUUGAGUCAUCAAUUAUCCCAGCAUUUGAACAAUCUUGUAAGACAAUGUUUGAGCAAGUGGAUGGUGCAUUCCAGAAGGGCAUGUCUGAGCAUGGUACUGCUAUCCAGCAGCAGGUUGCAGCAGCACAUAGUCCAUUGGCACAGACUUUAAGGGAAACAAUCAAUUCAGCAUCAUCAAUUACCCAGGGUCUUACAUCAGAGUUACUUGAUGGCCAGCGCAAGCUUUUGGCACUAGUUGCAUCAGGGAACCCAAUAUCACAUAAUACUGCUUUGCAGCCCAUCAACGGACCAAUACCCAAUCUCCCCGAGGCUGAUGUUCCACUGGACCCGAUGAAGGAGUUAACCAGACUAUUAUCUGAGCAAAAAAUCGAUGAGGCGUUUACGAUGGCUCUUCAAAGAAGUGACGUCUCCAUGGUAUCUUGGUUGUGCUCUCAGGUUGAUUUGCAAGGUCUGUGUAGACUGAACCCCGUUCCUCUGAACCAAGGGGUCCUUCUGGCCCUUUUCCAGCAACUGGCAUGCGACAUAGCCAACGACACACCCCUGAAGCUUCAAUGGAUGACAGCGGUCGCCAUGGCAAUCCAACCAACCCAUCAGAUGAUUGCAGCGCAUGUGAGGCCAAUAUUUGAGCAAGUCUAUGGCGUCUUGGCCCGCCAACAGUCGGUACCAGGAACCAGCCCACUGGAAGCCAACAACAUCCGCCUAAUGAUGCAUGUAAUCAACUCGGUGAUGAUGACCCACAAGUGAUAUGAUAGGGCGUAUUCUGUAGCCGCUGUAAGUUUGAACCACCAUAUGAUCUAUUCGUGAGCCCGUGUACAGAGGGAAUUUUGAGAAGUGGCUCUUGAACCGGCAAUGUGGCAGUGAUACCAUACUCCUACCUAGAAGGUGUUGUAAAUUGGUUAUGUUCGAGCCCGUACUUAUGGCGCCUACCACCUUGUUUGGUGGAGCGCUUUAGCUCGUUACUUGCAUUCCUUGCACAUGCGUUGAGAUGUUUGUGGCCACCGUGCCAGUGUCGUGUGUGAAUCCUGACGCUGACUAUGGCAGUUUAAAUGUUUUGGUGUGAACCAUGGAGCUGCCGUGGCCUCGAUGAUGUCAGUUUGUUUAUUUUGGUAAAGAGGGAGUUGGGAGUCCUGUGUACAGAGGGAAUUUUGAGAAGUGGCUCU